rnacentral:lncRNA from 1 species
CAAUGGUUGCACUUUGUGGUGAUGUAGUCUACGAUCGCCCGUACUCUUUCCCUAAUAACACCCCUUUCUUGCAACAAAUGCCCAAUUUGGUCAGUCUUUGCCUCUAGAGUUUGUUCAGCUAUCUGAUUCAAUUCUUGGAAUUGUUGUAAAUCCAUCUCUAACCUUGCUAUCGCGGCAUAACAAUGUUCUCUCUUGGAUUUGAAAUCCCUGGCUUUCUUUGCCACUUUGUUCUCAGCCAUGAUGACCUUCCUUUUUAACCCAGCAACCUCAUCGUCAUGACUUCCUUUUAAUUUCUCAAUGAUGCAGGUUCGAUCCUCCGCAGUUUUAGCUAACUAUUUCCGAACCCCGGAUAUCUCACCUUCUAAUUUAUUCGAAUCAAACCCAUACUCUGUCACUUUUUUCCUUAAAUUGUCUAUGAGUUUUUCAUCUCUCGCGCUCCUGGAGGGAUUUUUCGUGGCUAUUUUUAUCCUUUGGAUUUGAGCUCGCAACACUUCGUUCUCUUUGGUUAAUAUUUUCUUUUCCCCCUCAUCUGCAGCUUCUUGCAAACCAUUCUCAAAUUAAAGCUCUUUGACCCGUUUUUCUAAUUUUCAUAUGGUGGCCAUGUACUCAUUUUCCUUGGAUAGCCAGUCCCAUUGUUCCUGUGACGUUUCAAUGAACUCCUGGAGAUGAGGCCUUUUGGGUGGUCUCUCAAACUCAAUUUCUCUUCUGUACCAGGUAGGGUAUCCCGGUGACACUUCGCCUCUAGCCUGAUCCUGUACGCAAGUGUUUACGGUUAGAUAUUGGCAUUCAUUCUAAAUCUUGCGGACCAUUGUUUCGGGGAACUGACCAUCAUGCCCAAUCUCGACUGCCCGGACACUGAGGUCUUCGUCUAUUGGCACUAUCUAGCAUCUUCCGAGUUGUCUCAAGACCCGAUGCGGGACAUAAGGCAAGAUACUCCUAAGACCAAUCAAGAGGAAAUGAGGUUAUGUUGCCGGCAUGUACAC